CCAAGAUCAGUUUCUACGUCAAAGGGAAGAAGGAGACAUUUUUCUUCAAGAACAAGACUACACAAAUUCAAGAUCAAUCCAGACGUAAAUCAAGGAAGAGGACCAACAGGAGAAACAGGAACAAGCAAGUGUGGGCCGAGUCAGCUAAGAUGGUCACUGUAGUCCAUGGAGGCCAAGAUCACCAACUUAAGUCACCGUUUUUGACCAACAAGGACGACCCAGGAAUGCCAAGCAUUUACUGCUCCAUAAAUGGAUACAACUUCUACAAGACGAUUUGCGACACCGGAUCGGGCGUUAACAUAAUGGCCGCAGUCACCUAUCGGCUCUUAUUCGGGACCAUGCCACUAAGACCAACAUACAUUCAGCUCCAGAUGGCAGAUCAGACAUUUCGAGAAGUUCAAGGAGUAGUAUCUGAUGUCCCAGUCAAAAUAGACGAUCACUUUGUCUACACAGACUUUCAAGUUGUUGACAUGGGAGAAGAUGAAUACGAUCCACCCAUCAUCCUUGGAAGACCGUUCCUCAGCACUAUUAAAGCAAUUAUCUACAUUGGAACCGGAGAAGUCCAUAUGCACUUCCCCUCAGAGAAGGUACGCCGUUAUUUUACUGACCCUAACUAUAUCGUUGAAGAAUCUAAGCAGGUAAGGAAAAGACGCAACCGCAACCAGAGGAGGCAGAUCAUCAAGGACGGAUGGGCAGACUAUGAAGGAGAAGUUGUAAGAUCAGAAGACGUUGAGUUUAAAAAGAAUUAUCCAGAGGAGAUUGAAGCACCAAGUCAGGUGUGGAAAAUGAAGAUAACUAUACAAGAAGAGGAGGCCCUGCCGGAAGUACCGACUACGCCACCCAACGAACCUCAGGACCAUUAAGAAAAUGGAGAGUCCCGUUCGGAGGACUUAAAAACACCGAACGCCUUGCCAAGAGGUAAACUUGGUAGUUAUCCUUUCCCUUUCAAUUAUUUCAAAUAGUUUACUAAGUUAAUCAGGUUCAUACUAUCUUAAAAAGAAAAUAAAAAUAUGAAAAAUACUAAGCCCCAUGUGAGUAGACGAGUGGCAUAAAACCCAUAAGUACAUUCACUGUGGUGGCAUAAAAAUAAAAUAAAUAUUUUUCUGCUUUAUAAAAUAAAAAUAUAAAAAAAGGGAGUAAUAAUUAUUAAGGAGUCUCAAGAUAAUAAAGGCUAGAUAUUUAUACUAACACUUAAUCAAUUCCACAAGCUUUGUUGUCUAUUUGAGCUCCACAGAAUUUAAGAAUCAAGAAGACUAGCAGACGGAGGACAUUCUAAUCGCUGUCAGAAUGCUGCUGACUUUCAAAUACACCUCUGCCAACUGCUAGCUACAUCAAGAGAAAUUACGUCAAAAUUCAGCUUGUGGGAGAGCACCCCCAUUUAUCCCGAUAAGUAUUUCUAUCUAUCUAUCUUUAUACUUAUAUUAUUUUAGAAUAUUAAAAUACAUAUAAACUAUGGAAAACCAAAUAAAGAUUUUAUGCUUAUAUAUAUAUAUGUCUUUUGCUUAGUGUGUUUAAUAAAUAAAUAAAGUGGCUAUGCUAAUCUGUAUCUAAAUAAAACUUAAGCAUGGAUAUGAUAAAUAGUUGCUCUACCUAAUUUGCAAAUUUUAAGUUCUCUCUCAAGUUUAGAUAUAACUGUUAUAAUUUAAAGCUUAUCCUAGACCUAAACUUGUGGGAUGAAAAUUUGAUCUGAAGCCUAAGUUGUUAACGGAUAUGAUAUGGGAUGGUUGAGCUGCUGUUUAUCUGUUCCUAGAGAUGCUAGAAUUCUGGAGAAUUUUAUCUUUGAAAAUCUUUAAAAUGUUGCAUGAUGAGUUCCGUAUGAUGAGUGUUUAAAUUCCUACCACAGCCAUAUAUACAUGCUUGCUAGACUUUGAGCCAUACAUUUAUUAUUUACUGCUUAUGAGCAUUGAGUGUGGUCAAGUUGUGUUGACCCUUAGGAGCUUGUCAUGUGGUUAAAUCAAGAUUUCACUUGCACGUUCACUCAUAUAUGCUACUUCUACUCCGGAAGUACCAUCCACAUAUAUCCACCCAUUCCAUCUCCAGAAUCACCCAAAAAUAUUCUACUCCUAAUCCGGGAGAGAAUAACCAAAAAUAUUUCUGUUUUCCCCUUGUGAAAUAAAUGCUCAAGUUAUAUUGUUACUACCACUUGCUAUAUUAUCUCAAGAGAUGAAUGCUCUGAAAAAAAAGAUACGAGGAAAUAAAAAGGAGCAAGUGCUCGGAACCUCGAAAGAAAAGAAAAAAAAGUGAGACGAGAGGUAAAAAUGGACAAGUGUCCGACAGUAGAAUUAGGGGUACAAGAUGCCCACCUGAGAGAAAAGAAAAAGAAGAGCAUCUCAUUCUCCUCAUAAAAUUUCAAAAGCAAGAAAGGUAUGUAUCCCCUCAAAGAGCAAAGUAGAAUUAGACUUCCACCACCAUUGUUUUCACCAUUGUUAUCACCAUACACCAUUCAUUCGCCACACAUGCACGUCUUGAUUUGGCUUAUUGACUUGUUACUUUGGAUCCAUGGUUUGACUAUGCAAUAAAUGUCUUGUAAGUAUGUAUACUUUAUCUCCCACCUAUGAGCUCUAGAUAUUAAAGCCUUAUUAGAGUAGGAUGAGAGAGAAGGCAAUGUCACUAUGCCUCAUACCACAAAUACCACAUAUCUUGAGAGAAGACAUAUACCAUCACUGCCUUGGUAAGGAUCCAAAAAUACCACAAAAGAGAGACCUGAGAGAAUCAUACAAGGAAACUCUGAGUUUUAUUUGAAAAUCUGCAAAAACCCCAGAGCUAUAGCUGAUCAAGAAUAAGAGACAUGGCACUUGGCUGGACUGUUCUAUCUUUUAACCACUCAAAACAUAAGUGACGGUUACAAGUCCCACGGUGAAGGUAAAGUAAGUAAGUUUUAAGUCUUGACAGUUUACUCUAACUCAGAGAUGAGAUCUUAUUUAAAAGCAUGUGUACCGUCAAUUUUUAAAUAUAUUGCAACUACUUAUGAUCCAUAGCUGAGUCUAUCCUUGCUCAGGGACGAGCAAGAGGUAAGCUUGGGGGAGUUUGUUGACGGUCCUUAAGUAUCAAAUUUAAUUAUCAAAUAAAUAAAGAAAAGGAUCCAAAUGAAAUCAAGAUCUAGACUUAGGGUUUUAUCUGACAGAAUUCCAUGAGUUUUGGUGUUUCUCUAUUUCUGCAGGGGGUUAUCGGGAAAUAUGGAAGAAAGGCCCACAUGUCGGGAUUACGUAAAGAUAUUAACGUGCUGCGCAAUUAUCUUACAUCUAGAAGACUCCAAAAGCCACGAGACCGAAGCGGAGGCGAAACGGGGCCAGAGGCAGGGCGCCCGCCCUCCUGCCCUGGGCGCCCGCCCACCUCCUGUGUCCAAUCAGGACUCUCCUUUGCGGGAGAUCUCCACCGACCUAAAGGAUGAAUCUAAACCAUACAAUCUAUGUCGGUUUGAUCCAAGGGCCCAUAUUCACUUGAAGGGACUAUAAAACCAGACCCCCUGGCCCCUGGAGGAGGGAGCCUCUCAACCCUAAUUCAUUGUUCCAUCAAGGGAGAAGAAGCCUCUGAUCAAGAUUAGAGCCACCACAUCAAUUAGAUAUCUAGAUUAGCAUAACUACAUAGGAUUAGAACUAGAAGGAGUCAAUCUUCGAUUGGUUUCCGGAUCUGUCAAGAGGAUUCUUGGUAAUUCUCUAAUUGUGCUUCUAAUUGCUUUCUAAUUAUCUUUGUUCUUCAAUAUUAUGAAUAUGACUUUGUUCUACUUCAAUAUAUUGCUUAUGACUUUGCUCUAUUUGCUUAUAUUCAAGAUUAUAUUGUUCUUAGUUUAUUAUAGUUAUGUACUUGGCUUAGUUAGAUUCGAUCUAUAUACAUGCUUAGGAUCGUAUAGCGUUUAUCCAUCGGAUCCAUGGGUAAAUGAUAGAUAUUGUGUAGGCGUGGUGCUUAUACCGUAUUUAUCUGCGAUUGUACCCAAUAUGCCAGAUCGUGGGGUGGUUCGUGAUAGUGACAGCUUCAUUGAUUCUUAUAUAGUCCCCCUCUCGUGUAUUGGGCUGGCAGAGCAACAUUAUUACAGGGGAGUGAUUGCUAUGUUUCUCAUAUUCCUUGCUAAUAUCACUAUGCAUGGGCGUAGUCUUGUCUCGCAAUGAUUGCUAAGUAUGCUUGCACUAAUUAUGAUAAUGCUAGACUAUAUAGUUAAGAAUAACUUAGGGAAUAUUCUUGUAGUUCGUUCUAAUACCAUGCUAAUGACUUUCUAGAGUAUCUAAUUGAGGUGCUUAUCAUAUUUAUUACGUGGCUAGAUCAUAUUAGUUAUCCUUGUCACUAUUAUUAGUUCAUAUAUCUUUUAUGUGACACUUAUCCCUGUAUGAUGAGUUAGAUAUAAUGUUCUCAAUUAUACAUGCAAUGAUAGAUGCUCAAUCUCAUAUUCUAUUCUGUAAUCAAUAUUGAUGAUUGCUAAUCCCUUCCCAGUGGUAAAAAUAUAAAUAACAAUACCUGGAAUACUUCCCGGUUAAAAUGCUGCAUCGGUAUUAAUCUGUGCGCUUGCAGAUCCCAUUCAUUAUUUAUUUAGAAGAGCAAUUGCAUAUUUCAAUACCGCGUCUCUUAUAUCAUGCUGGGGAUGACAACUUGGCUUAAGUGGUGUGAGGGAUAGGUUUGGCAUUUUUGGCACCGUUACUAGAUUUAGAGAACUUAGUCUACUUUUGGUAAUGAUGUUAAGAAUACCCAACAUGGGGCAUGCGUUCAACAUGACAAGAGGGCUGUCAACGAUCGGUCCUUAAUCGACACAGGCGGGGAUAGAUAGGCACCCAAGACCUCCAUGUCUUGUUACUUCUCUAUCAUCGUCCCGCCCGGUCUCCAAUUAUUCAUCCUCAUCACUUGGUUAUUUCCAUGAUAGCAUAUAUAGUCAACCUUUUCAGGUAUCCACCUAUCUCGCUCAGGUGACAGAACAUCACCUGGCUUCUACCGAUCUAAGCAUAGCUAAGCAGUUAGAUUCGAUCGUGAAUCUACAUAGGGUCAUAGGUAUAUUUACUGGACAAGGAGUGAUAUAUGCAGCAAGGGUUUCACCCAACUCCUAUACUUAAUGCAACAAUACAUAUAUAACAUAUAUUUUCAAUUGCAUUCAAAAGUAGUAGGAGACUUAUAAUGCUCCGAGGCUUGCCUGGGAUCAACACGGAGUCAGUUUAAUUAGUUGUUCCAUCUUGGUGACAUCUUAGGUCGCAACACUUGCUUAGUCCUUCCAUCUUCGCGAUGGGUCCACCCAACACCGUCUUCGGAUUUGUUCCCACACCAAGACCUUCACGUGAUUCAUCUAGCGCACCUAGAUGAGAUGCAAGAUGCAAGUGCAUGAAUAUAAAGAAUAAUAACACAACAUGCAUCACAGAAAAGUAUGCAAGACAUAGGCAUUUAAAGUUAUUUAGCUAACAUCACACGACCAAUUAUAUAGAGCAAACAUAUCAAUAAUGACACAAGUUUUACAAGGUUGCAAGUGUAUUACUUAAUCACCAUUAAAGACAUGAAUCACAGUUUGCACACAACAAGUAAAGCAAUCAAGCAUUCAUGCAUUUUCAGCAAUUUUGGACAUACAUGCAGCAACUCAGUAAACAAUUCAUAACUAGAGCUACACAGCUCCAAAAACUAUGAAAUAGGACAUUAUGGAAAGAUUAUAAAAUCAUCUACAAUUCAUCUUUAAUCAUAUUAGCAUGAUUAACAAGUUAACCAAGUAAAACAUGCAUGACCAUAUAAUCUGGUCCAGGAAUUUCCAGAGAACAAGCAUUUCAAGGGAUGAACUUCAUACUACUGUAACUCACAAACCACUUAGCCAAAUGAUAUGAAACUUUACCACAAGAUAUAUUAAUAAAUUAUCUACAUAUUUUAUAUAGACAAGUUGCACAAGAAACAUCAUUUAUAUCAUGAAAUUAGUUGCACAAUCAAAACUGCUCGUGCUGCCCAAACAGUAGGGGUACAAUUACACACAGAAAACUGAUAGGCAAUUCAAAGCAGCAUAACUGGAGUUGUAGACCUCCAGCAAACAUAAUUCUUAUAUUUGUGGAAAGCUUAUAAAGUUACCCACAACUUUCUUAUUAUCAUCUAAAUAUGAUUCCACAGUUAACAAGGUCAAUUAAUCCCAUGAAGGCAUCUCUGUCCAAAACAUAGACAGAAUCUGUCAUGCUACAUUAAACAGCUAUAACUUGAGGUUCACAUGUCCAUAAUUUAUGAUUGUGUACUUUCUAGAAAGCUUACGAAAUUGUGAACAACUUUGUUAUAAACAUCUAGAGCUAAAUCUAUCACUAAUAAGGUCUUACAUUACAAACAAUGCAAUCCUGUCUGGGUUUAGAUAGAAACUGGAACAGUACUUUAAACCACUAUAACUCAACAUGUGCUCAACAAAAAAUUGUGCUAUUUAUCUUUUUGGAAAGCUCAUGAAAAGUACUAAAACUUAUAUAUUUUCAUUAAGGCAUGAUUCACAACUGAACUGAUACGAGCAAAGGAACACAGGGUACUUGUUAUUUUUAUAACUCUUAAUCUGUUAUUCCUAAAUUCAUGAAACUUUUAUCAGUCAUCAAAUAUCAUAUGAAAAGCAUGUCACAAUAUUUUCACAUUUAUUUGGGCAACAACACAGCAGUUAUGAAAAAGACAAAUAUAACAAGGAAUUAAAACCUAACUGCAUAAAUCUAUUUUUACGACUAUAACUUCAAACUAAACCAUGCCAUAUUAUAGAUCUACUGCAUAUAGAAUUUCAUAACGAUUCCAAAAAGUCCACUUUUGCUAUUUUACGACUUUUCUAUGAAUUACUAUGCAUUUCUAAAGAUCAUCCAGAAAUCUGCAUAAAGAAAAGAUAAAGGAAAACACUUUUGCUUCGGAAACCCUGUGCUUCGCAAACCCUGGGCUUUCUCGAAAUCAACCGCAGUCCAGAUGCACUAUUCAUAUGAGUCUUAGUUUCGCAUCUGGAACCCUGAGUUGUUUCAUAUUCUAACCCGAGAUCCCUCCUAAGGAAGGCGAAAUCCAGCUUCGGGGUCAGGGGCGACGCCAUCGACGAGGAAGCGACGCUGGGGUCUCCCAAGCUCCCACGCGACCACGAUGGGGCUCAGCCUGGAGGACGGCCCGGCCAUGAUGCUCAUCCAUGCUAGCUGCUCGGGGUAGCGGGCGGCAAUGGUGGUGUCCGUGCUCGACAGUGAUGGGGAGCGAGUUGGAGAGACACAGAGAGGCGGAGGGAGUGGAGGGGAGGUGGAGGUGAGUGAAUGAGGGAGUGGUGAGCCCUUCUGGCUGUCCCAAACGCAAAAUGGAGCAGCAGCAGAGGUGCAGCAAUGGUGGGGCGCGCUCUGGUGCAUGGCGACCACGCAGGCAUUUCAUCGAACACGUGGUGCGCGUCGGAGUAGGCAAGGUGGGAGGCGAUUUUGGGCUUGUUCCUGGCCGAAUUUGAAGAUGGGCCAAAAAUGAAGUUUGCUCACCUCGUCCUGCUCUCCAACUUUGAUUAAGGGUGCUCAGUCAUUAGGCCAACAGAUUAGGAGAUAAAUAGAUGCCAAGUCACGAGUGUCAACGUAUUGACGGUGAUUAGCAAAACCAAGAAUUGAUGGUCCAAAUUAUGUCAAACAUGAUGCAACUUUUUACAUGACCUUCUCCAAGUAAUUGUCCACCACUUUUAUUUUUGGAUCAACUUUAGUUGCUUAACAAAAACAGGAGAACACGACAUGCCAACGGGUCGACGUCCGUUUAGCAAUAAAUUAAUCUUUUGCUGUUUUGGGAGCUAUUUUUGAACAUCCAAAUGAACUCCAAAUUUGAUGAUACUUGAUCCAUUGCUUUCACCAAGAAGAGUACUCCAACUCAUAUUAAGGAAUCCAAUUGAGUUACUAUAUGAAUUUGGAUGCUAAAAUGUCACAGAUAAACUAACUUGCUGCUGUCACUUUCCGGGACAUAGAAUUAUUUCUCAGGGCUAAAAAGCAGCAGCUGAUUCGAUCUUGGAGCCUCUAUUUCAACUAUUUGCAUGCUGAUUUGGUUCUUGACCCUUGAAUAAAGUUUCUUCUACACAAGAAAAACUACAACUUUCAUUUAGGGUCAAACCUCAUAACUGCAGCAGAAGUCCAUCUUUCACUUUGGUCAAAGCAGUAACCCGAUAAAGCUCCAAAUAGGAUUUUAGGCCAAUUGAAGCAUUUUCUUGACAUAACCUCAACAUGAACCCUUCAUGACUUUUGUUGUAUAAUUCAUCUAGAGUCCUAUGAGCAAGUUUGGAAGGGUUGGUUCAUGACCCAUGAUUCUAUUUCCUUAAUAGAGCCAUUCCAACAAUGAUAUAACUUAUCAUUUCAUGUGACUUCUUGAUUCCAAACUUAACCAAACCUUUCCAGAGACCAACAUAGAUUGGGAUGGAUAUAAGACACAUGAAAAAGGUUCUAUUAGCAUCAUCAAAGCAUACCUUUUAAAAAGGCAUAUAUGCAAGCAAGGUUGCAUCCACCAAGCCCAAGUUGCGGUUUACUUUCAUAGGUUGACUGUGACCUCUUUGUUACCAUUAAGCUUGUCAUGUUUGAGCUCAAACCUAGUACUUAGCAAGUGACAAACAGCUUGGGUGUUACAGCCUUCCCCCCUUAAAAGAAUCUCGUCCCGAGAUUCGGUGCAAAAGACUUUCAAGGGAAGAAAACAAUGUCACGCAUUUUCCAACAUUAGCAAUAGCAGUGGGCGACUUAGCUUAGAACAUCAGAGAAGCUAACUUGAUCCAAACAUUUUCUGAUACUUGCCCUUCAUAGUAAACCUUUAUCUAGAGAAUCUCCCUUUUUGUUUGACUCCACUGAAGCACUACCUUGGGAGGAAUCCAAGACAACAUUGUUCCAUGUACUUUGUUUCUGAUUGUUUAGAGCCUAAGGAGCUACUUGUACCAUUAGCUUCUUUAGUGAAACUAAUGCAAGCCAUAUGAACUUUACACUAUGUCACAAGCUUAUAAGGGUUGCUCAUUAUACUGAUUCCAGGCUCAUUCACAAGAUUUGAAAAGCAGUUCUCUACCAAAAUGGUUGAAUUAUAACUUCCCACACUUGCAGGUCCCUUUCUCUGAUGACAACAUUGUACUGACCACCCGAUUAAGAGAACAGUGAAUGUGAUAGCUGACUCUGUUUGUUUCAUGCCUUCCAUGAUCAUUUACUUUAAUGGGAUUCUUGUAUCCAAACAACAACAGUUAUCUGGGUUGAAUCAGAUGUAACUUCUUGGGUAACACAUAGAAGGUAACCAAGGCAUGUAAGAAUUGGAUAACCACUACUGACAAAGGAUGAUAGUGGGGUCCAUAGGUCUCCAACUGUUGCAAGUGUUCAACUAACUAAAGAAAUAGUUUACCACCAAGUAGGUUAAGCAUGACCUUUCUUCAUGAUGCAGUUGCAUAAGAGUUAGGUUGACUUGUACCAUAGAAAAACCAAUCCAAGGGAACUACUUUUGCUUUUGAGGUUUCCUUUUUAAGAUCAGUCAGUAGCUCUGAUAUUGAAAAUCUAUUGACUGACACCUUUCAAAACAUUUUUUAUUUGCACUGGCACAAAUGGGUACAAAGAAUCUUAUUUCAGCAUAUAAGCAUUAUCUAUGCAGCAAGACAUUGCCCAUAUUGUAAUCCAUGGCACCCAAACAAACACCACUCACAUUUCCAUGAAAUUAGGUAGAAUUACAGAUCCAUGAGUCUUCCAACCUUUGAUCAAAAUUCAGCUCAAACGGGCACCAUUUGUGUAGGCAGAACAUAUGCAUACUAAAAUUGUUCGGUGCUAAAACGGCAGCACUCCUGACUGACAAGACAUCUCUCAACUCCACAGUUUAAUUCACUAUUUGACGAAAUAUAUCCUUCAUGGCUAUCAAUCCAUCGUUUCCUUGCUUGAGAUUAGCUUUGUUACUAGCAACCAAUCAAUUGGCUCUCAUCACUAAAAUUUCCAAAGCUCCACACUUAACUACAACAAUUGUGGCUGACGCUUAACAAUUGGUCACCCUCAAAACCAGGAGAUAAUGAUUCACGCUAAAGAUGGUUGACUGUAGCUGUAUGACCAUGAUGCACAUAAAGAUCAAGACUUAGGAAAACUAGAUCAUAAGCAUAAUGGUGAUGACUGAUGCUUGUUCAACAAAUAACUUGUCCAACAUUAAGUGUCGUGUGUCCUUUGAUUCGCCGUGGACGACCAAUGUUGCUCAUUAAAUGACCAUCAUCAUUGCAGGAAUAGUUAAAUAGUGUCACUUGUCUACCAUCUCUUGUAGUCCGUUAAUGUUGAUGUCAGUGACCCAUUAUUCAAAGGUAAUCCUUUUUGUAACUUCAUGGGUCACUUGUCUACCAUCUCCUACUUGCACAUGAAGUAAGAAUCUUCUAAUAUGAUCUAAAGAGAUAAUUGAGGACAAACUCAUGAUGAGAUGACACAUUGGUGUAGUUCUAUAAUAGAGCAUGGCUAGCGACAACGAUACCAGUGCGUGCCGAGCAGCACAACCAUGUGUCGGCCGCCACAAGGGGCUCUCGGUUUCGUCACGGCACCAUAAAUCAUUAACCAAGGCACCAUUACUGAACAUACAACCCAAAGGAAAUCUCUCAUGGUAAAAAUUGGGUUGCAUAGCAGCGAGCACUUUGCAAAAGAGGGGGUAUCAACUGAGAUAGUCAUGAGAUUAGAGGUCCACAAGGAAGUGAUUAAAACAUAGUACUAGAGAACAUAGAUCACAUAAGAUUAAGAUGGAUAAACACCCAGAGACUCAAGAGAGUUGGAGAUAAAACGAUUGAGUUUUGAAAGAUUGAGUCAAUACACAGAUUAGGGGAUGGAUACACAACAUUCAAGAGCUAACAACCAUGCACAAACUCAAGCUCUUUAUCAUUGGAAUCUACUUGGAGAUAACUACUGACGGUUCUUAAGUAUCAAUUUUAAUUAUCAAAUAAACAAGAGAAAGGACCAAUAUGCAACCAUCACCUAGAAUUAGGGUUUGAUCUGACAGAAUUCCACGAGUUUUGUUGUUUAUCUAUUUCUGCAGGGGGUUAUCAGGAAAUAAGGAAGAAAGGCCCACAUGUCGGGAUUACAUAGAGAUAUCAACGCACCGCGCAAUUUUACAUCAUCUAGAAGACUCCAGAAGCCACGAGACCGAAGCGGAGGCGAAGCUGGGCCAGGCUUAGGGCGCCCGCCCUGGAAGCCUGGGCGCCCGCCCCCCUGCUGGAGCCAAUUCAGGACUCCUUCGCUCGGGAUAUUCCACCGACCUAUUGGAUCAAGAAAAACAUAGUACUACCUCGGCUAUCGACCCAAAAACGCAUAGAAGGGGAGGACUAUAUAAGCGAGGCCCCCUGGCCCCUGGAAGACAUGAAGAAAUUAUCAUAGAGACUGAGGGGUGCCCUCGAAGGAAAACCUCUAUUGUAAUUAAUAUUUCUUUUUAGGCUUAGCAAUCAAUGUAAGGUAGAAAUAGAUCUUCUAGUUUCUACUAGAUUGAGAGAGAUAGAGUGGAGGUGUAGAGUGGAGGAAGCCCGGCUUGUCGGUGUCUACUCCAAGCUUGUACCUGCGGGAUCAAGUUCUCCUAACCCGAAGCUUGCUCCUAGGAUUCUUCAGUAAUUCGACUUCUAAAUUCUAGUAAGUUCUUGUUUUAUUGUUCUUAUGGUUUAUGAGUUUACUUUAAUCUCUUCGCGUAGAGUUUAGAGUAAUCAUUGCUGGCGUAAAUGUGGUGUUUAGGCUAGGGUACUCAUAGAUAUUCCCUGACUAGCUGGACCGUGGUAGUAGUGAGGAACGUGACAUUUCCGAGCUACCUUUGUAGAUCACAUCUCGUUAGCAGGAAGGAUAGGGUUUAUAGGUGCGGGUCGAACAUCCUUUGUGUUGUCUAGAUUCCGUUAGCCUCCCCAUCAGAACAAUAGAUCAUCCUUACCAAGGUUAGAAGGAGACUACGGUUGCAGUCUUCUCUAUUUAUCACUCACAUCGAAAGACAUUCUUUGUGCCUAAAGGGAUAGUAGCAAUAGACCGGUUAGUCAGAUGCACUCUUUCUCCCAGUGGUAAAAAUAUAAAUACGAUACUCUGGAAAACCUCCCGGGUGAAAUGCUCACCGAUAUCCGUGCGCUUGCGGAUCAUUUUCUAAUUGCGUUACCAAAUAUCAACAAUAACCAUGAGAUUAAAGUGACAUGAGUGUUAUUCUAAGAUAAGGCUCUUCAACACUCGCAAGCUUACUAAGGACAAAAAGGUAACAACUACGACACUACCUGAUUAACAACACAUCUACUCAUGCAUCAUGGUUUUAAACAAACAUGUGAGAACAUGAAUCACACUAUCUCCAACAAUCAUUACUAAGCACAAAGUUCUGCAGAUAACAAGCAGUCAUCUAAAGCAACACUAGUACACCUAAACAUACAAAACAUGAUGGUAAAGUGCUUUUAUCUUUUACUUUCUUUUACUAGAAAGGUGUAUGUUUCUUCUCUAGUUGUGAAAACAAAUUUUUAACUUAUGCUUAAAAGACUAGUCAUCUUAGAGAUGUGCAUCAUACUGACAGGGUGCACAGACAGACCACAACAGGCAAAACAAAGCAAAUUAUACCCUAUCUUUAAUUAUAGCUAUUCAAGCAACAUGUAGCAAAGCAUUUUAUCCAACUGCACACAAGCAAGGUGACACCACAUUGAUUCAUAAGUUACUUAUUGUUAGAACAAAGGUGAGAGACACAAAGUUAUACAUAAGAUAACAAUCAUGAUGAUGCAUGCUUCGUCCUAUUCGUCCUCACAAAAUUGCCAGCCUAAGGUGGCAAUCACGUUCUAUGUCGGUGGCAUAACACGUACACUCUCGACAUAUAGCUAGUCGUAAUAUUCAAUUUACGCAUCCGUGGUUAGUGUACCUGCAGAAAAUUCAUUUCAGCGCACCCACAAUAUGAAACAUGCAGUACAAGAUUAAAAAGCUAUGCGCUCCACACACGUGUAUCCCCAUACCUGUUUGUGUAGUGCUACUACCCACAUCAUCGUCCUAGUGACGACAUCGCCUCUAAGGACGGAAUCACCCAUCAUGCGAUACCUUUUCAUAGGCACAUGUAAAAUGUGCACAUGAUCCAGUACCAAAAGCACUUCCCUAGAUCGGUGGUGUAUCCGAUCAUGCUCUCACAGCUCACACUUACCGUGGCGUAGAGGAAGAAAUGAUCCAUACAUUACCAUUCAAAUGAAUGGCACUCAUACUAUUGCACGCCGUAUGAGCAACGAAAUAGAAAUAUGAUGCAGAAACCCCCAAGUCAGUACUUAAAUAAGCCACCUAAAGGUCCUUAUUUGAGCAUAAAGGAAAUGACCACUGGCAUACUUAGGUAAAACAUUUUCAGAUUUGAACACACCUAUAUCUAUAAUAGCUAUAAGCUAUUAAAAACUAAUUUUAGAAAACAAAAUCUUUUGUUUAGAAUACACAUAUGACAAGUUUAAUGUUGAACCUUGCUUUGAUACCAGCUGUAACAGAACCGCCCAAUUUACAAGAGAUCAACUAUGAAAAACUCCCGCCAAAGCAGUUGCUUUAACAUAAUCGAACUCUUAUAAACCGGGUAGUCCGUGAAAUCACGAGGGAUUUCAAACCAACCAUCAUACAAGCCAAGAUCGUAGUGAUUGAACAUAACAAGUCACAUGUUACAUCCAUUUCACAAGUAGUUUGAUAUACAUCGGAGUUCUAUAUAGUUAUUACAACUUGAGUUGAAAAAUAGCGGAAGCAGAAUAAUUUUGAAACUAACAUUACCCUUAUUUCAAAUACAUGCCAGUAUCCAGGUCAACUCCAACAAAAGCAACAUAGAUGAGGUAACUAAGAUGGAUCAUGCCCAUGAUCUUACUCCUCUAAUAUGGUAGGAGUCAUCCAACUCUUGCAGUAGCCAUGAUACAUCACAACCUGCAACAAGUGGGAAUAAACCCUGAGUACGAGAAGGUACUCAGCUAGACUUACCCGUCAUAAACCAGAAAUAACAUGACACCAAGGAGUAUGCAAGGCUUUAUUGGUGGGGCUAGCUGGAAAACACUUUUUGCAUAAAAAGCUUAGGUUACAGGUAAGUAACUUUUCAGGUAUUUAGCUCAAGUUAAUAAUCAUUACCUGUCAUCUAUAUUAGCACCUGUACUAGAGCAAUCACUUGAUUAAGAUACAACAGUAGUACCCAUAUUUGAUGUGGCAUUUCCAACAUCAUCAUCAUACCAUAACCAUCCAAGUGUUCCAUAAACAUUACUACGAUGACGAAGCUCAAGUCAAGUGCUCACUGUCCAGGAGCGAUGGCGAUUCGAAUCGAUUUCUAACCAGCUGGCGAGUUUAUUCCCCACACAAACCACACUCACUGAUCAAGUGAGCUACAGGUCACCAUAUUACACUAUCCAGGACCAAUUCGCGGGUUCGACAGGCACCGCCCGUACCCGAGGACCGUUCCGGCGACCGAGGUAUCCAAGGUACACCAAGGUUGCGCGCCGCGCCCUCGUCGUUCUCCUCAACCAUCACCAAUACAGCGAGUACAUCGGGCCGAUUCCCGGCCCGGAUAGUGUUCAGGCUUCGCGGUCGGAACAACUUAUCCUUCCAGCUAAGUGUGGGGCAUGUGUUCAACAUGACAAGAGGGCCGUCAACGAUCGGUCCUUAAUCGACACAGGCGGGGAUAGAUAGGCACCCAAGACCUCCAUGUCUUGUUACUUCUCUAUCAUCGUCCCGCCCGGUCUCCAAUUAUUCAUCCUCAUCACUUGGUUAUUUCCAUGAUAGCAUUCAAAAGUAGUAGGAGACUUAUAAUGCUCCGGGGCUUGCCUGGGAUCAACACGGAGUCAGUUUAAUUAGUUGUUCCAUCUUGGUGACAUCUUAGGUCGCAACACUUGCUUAGUCCUUCCACCUUCGCGAUGGGUCCACCCAACACUGUCUUCGGAUUUGUUCCCACACCAAGACCUUCACGUGAUUCAUCUAGCGCACCUAGAUGAGAUGCAAGUGCAUGAAUAUAAAGAAUAAUAACACAACAUGCAUCACAGAAAAGUAUGCAAGACAUAGGCAUUUAAAGUUAUUUAGCUAACAUCACACGACCAAUUAUAUAGAGCAAACAUAUCAAUAAUGACACAAGUUUUACAAGGUUACAAGUGUAUUACUUAAUCACCAUUAAAGACAUGAAUCACAGUUUGCACACAACAAGUAAAGCAAUCAAGCAUUCAUGCAUUUUCAGCAAUUUUGGACAUACAUGCAGCAACUCAGUAAACAAUUCAUAACUAGAGCUACACAGCUCCAAAAACUAUGCAAUAGGACAUUAUGGAAAGAUUAUAAAAUCAUCUACAAUUCAUCUUUAAUCAUAUUAGCAUGAUUAACAAGUUAACCAAGUAAAACAUGCAUGACCAUAUAAUCUGGUCCAGGAAUUUCCAGAGAACAAGCAUUUCAAGGGAUGAGCUUCAUACUACUGUUACUCACAAACCACUUAGCCAAAUGAUAUGAAACUUUACCACAAGAUAUAUUAAUAAAUUAUCUAUAUAUUUUAUAUAGACAAGUUUCACAAGAAACAUCAUUUAUAUCAUGAAAUUAGUUGCACAAUCAAAACUGCUCAUGCUGCCCAAACAGUAGGGGUACAAUUACACACAGAAAACUGAUAGGCAAUUCAAAGCAGCAUAACUGGAGUUGUAGACCUCCAGCAAACAUAAUUCUUAUAUUUGUGGAAAGCUUAUAAAGUUACCUACAACUUUCUUAUUAUCAUCUAAAUAUGAUUCCACAGUUAACAAGGUCAAUUAAUCCCAUGAAGGCAUCUCUGUCCAAAACAUAGACAGAAUCUGUCAUGCUACAUUAAACAGCUAUAACUUGAGGUUCACAUGUCCAUAAUUUAUGAUUGUGUACUUUCUAGAAAGCUUACGAAAUUGUGAACAACUUUGUUAUAAACAUCUAGAGCUAAAUCUACCACUAACAAGGUCUUACAUUACAAACAAUGCAAUCCUGUCUGGGUUUAGACAGAAACUGGAACAGUACUUUAAACCACUAUAACUCAAGAUGUGCUCAACCAAAAAUUGUGCUAUUUAUCUUUUUGGAAAGCUCAUGAAAAUUAAUAAAACUUAUAUAUUUUCAUUAAGGCAUGAUUCACAACUGAACUGAGCCAAACAAUACAAACAUGCAGAUCCACUCAGAAUAGGAGCAAAGGAACACAGGGUACUUGUUAUUUUUAUAACUCUUAAUCUAUUGUUCCUAAAUUCAUGAAACUUUUACCAGUCAUCAAAUAUCAUAUUAAAAGCAUGUCACAAUAUUUUCACAUUUAUUUGGGCAACAACACAGCAGUUAUGAAAAAGACAAAUAUAACAAGGAAUUAAAACCUAACUGCAUAAAUCUAUUUUUACGACUAUAACUUCAAACUAAACCAUACCAUAUUAUAGAUCUACUGCAUAUAGAAUUUCAUAACGAUUCCAAAAAGUCCACAUUUGCUAUUUUACGACUUUUCUAUGAAUUACUAUGCAUUUCCAAAGAUCAUCCAGAAAUCUGCAUAAAGAAAAGAUAAAGGAAAACACUUUUGCUUCGGAAACCCUGGGCUUUCUCGAAAUCAACCGCAGUCCAGAUGCACUAUUCAUAUGAGUGUUAGUUUCGCAUCUGGAACCCUGAGUUGUUUCAUAUUCUAACCCGAGAUCCCUCCUUCUCUACGGAAGGCGAAAUCUAGCUUCGGGGUCAGGGGGCCACGCCAUCGACGAGGAAGCGACGCUGGGGUCUCCCAAGCUCCCACGCACCACGAUGGGGCUCAGCCUGGAGGACGGCCCGGCCACGAUGCUCAUCCAUGCUAGCUGCUCGGGGUAGCGGGCGGCAAUGGUGGUGUCCGUGCUCGACAGUGAUGGGGAGCGAGUUGGAGAGACACAGAGAGGCGGAGGGAGUGGAGGGGAGGUGGAGGCGAGUGAAUGAGGGAGUGGUGAGCCCUUCUGGCUGUCCCAAACGCGAAAUGGAGCAGCAGCAGAGGUGCAGCAAUGGUGGGGCGCGCUCUGGUGCAUGGCGACCACGCAGGCGUUUCAUCGAACACGUGGCGCGCGUCGGAGUAGGCAAGGUGGGAGGCUAUUUUGGGCUUGUUCCUGGCCGAAUUUGAAGAUGAGCCAAAAAUGAAGUUUGCUCACCUCGGCCUGCUCUCCAACUUUGAUUAAGUGUGCUCAGUCAUUAGGCCAACCGAUUAGGAGAUAAAUAGAUGCCAAGUCACGAGUGUCAACGUAUUGACGGUGAUUAGCAAAACCAAGAAUUGAUGGUCCAAAUCAAGUCAAACAUGAUGCAACUUUUUACAUGACCUUCUCCAAGUAAUUGUCCACCACUUUUAUUUUUGGAUCAACUUUAGUUGCUUAACAAAAACAUGAGAACGCGGCAUGCCAACAGGUCGACGUCCGUUUAGCAAUAAAUUAAUCUUUUGCUAUUUUGGGAGCUAUUUUUGAACAUCCAAAUGAACUCCAAAUUUGAUGAUACUUGAUCCAUUGCUUUCAUCAAGAAGAGUACUCAAACUCAUAUUAAGGAAUCUAAUUGAGUUACUAUAUGAAUUUGGAUGCUAAAAUGUCACAGAGAAACUAACUUGCUGCUGUCACUUUCCGGGACUUAGAAUUAUUUCUCAGGGCUAAAAAGCAGCAGCUGAUUCGAAAUUGGAGCCUCUAUUUGAACUAUUUGCAUGCUGAUUUGGUUCUUGACCCUUGAAUAAAGUUUCUUCUACACAAGAAAAACUACAACUUUCAUUUAGGGUCAAACCUCAUAACUGCAACAGAAGUCCAUCUUUCACUUUGGUCAAUGCAGUAACCCGAUAAAGCUCCAAAUAGGAUUUUAGGCCAAUUGAAGCAUUUUCUUGACAUAACCUCAACAUGAACCCUUCAUGACUUUUGUUGUAUAAUUCAUCUAGAGUCCUAUGAGCAAGUUUGGAAGGGUUGGUUCAUGACCCAUGAUUCUAUUUACUUAAUAGAGCCAUUCCAACAAUGAUAUAACUUAUCAUUUCAUGUGACUUCUUGAUUACAAACUUAACCGAACCUUUCCAGAGACCAACAUAGAUUGGGAUGGAUAUAAGACACAUGAAAAAGGUUCCAUUAGCAUCAUCAAAGGAAACCUUUUAAAAAGGCAUAUAUGCAAGCAAGGUUGCAUCCACCAAGCCCAAGUUGCGGUUUACUUUCAUAGGUUGAUUGUGACCUCUUUGUUACCAUUAAGCUUGUCAUGUUUGAGCUCAAACCUAGUACUUAGCAAGUGACAAACAGCUGGGGUUUUACAGGCCCCGUCGUCAAGGACUUAACUCGGUGACCUGCCUUAGGCGCGGGAGGAGGUUGGGGGCGGGGGAUGAUCUGACCUGGCGCAGGCUCAGGAGGAGUGUCGGCGCGGGAAUGACAUGGAGACGGCUCCCUCUGCUGACUUUCACGAGACCAGCUUGGCCCCCCUUUGGGACUUCCGUCCGCGGGACGUCGACGCCGGUCGGGGGAGGGCCCUCGAGGAUCUAGUCGAGACGGGAUGCUAUUCCUUCGGAAUCAUCGCUGUCGUCGUCGCCAUCGUCGCCAUCAUCCUCGUCGUGGGAUUCUUCCUCUGGCUCCCCCUCUGCCUAGACUUCCCUCGACGCAUCUCCAGCACUUGACGCUAGAGAUUCUUCUUCUUUUCCUCCUUCUUUUUCAAGUCUGCUGUGGAUUUCUGCUUUUCUGCGGACUCUCGCCGCUUGUCACGAACGACCUCGUCCACCUUUACUGGAGGCCUCGAGGAUCGAGCGUCGAUCGGUCCCUGCGCGGGCAGAGAUGGGUCUUAAAAGUGGUCGAAGAGGAUCGAGAUUCAAGAUCGUACAUAGGAAAAGGACUUACCAGGUCAAUCGACCCCUAAUCGGGCCUCAUGAGGAAGUCGUUGACGUGCUCUGGCUGGAAGUCGCUAGCAACGGCCGCCCUAACUCAGGCCGCAACCUCAUCGUCCGCCGGAGCCUCGUUGGACAUCCGGCAAGCCUCGAGAUCCCGCGACGAAACACUGGGACCCAUCUCGUCCAUCCUCAACGGCCAAGACAUCAACGGGAGAACCCUCCGAUGAUGGAUGGCCGAGAGAACGAGAGCGGCUGACUGGCCUUCCUCGCGCAGCUUCUUCAGGGCGUUGAGGAGGGGGUCGAGCCGUGCUUGGUGAGUUUGGAUGACGCCGUAGCUCUAGUGGCCCGGGCGCUCUGAGAUCAAGCGCCCGGUGUAGACGGGGAAGAGGUCGUCGUCGUUCCGUAGAUAAAACCACUGGGAGUCCCAUCCGGCGUGGUUCGACGUUAACCCCACCGGGAUGUACUCGCAUGGCCUCUCCGAUUUGCCAGUCUUCAACACCAGGUUGAGGCACCCGGCCCGUACAGGCUUCCUCACACCUAUGGUUCUAGUAGGGGCGUUGAAGAGCUCGCCCCGGUACAGAUGGAGCCACAGGUCCCAGUAGGGCAUCAUACCCAUAUAGCCCUCACACACCGCGGCAAAAACCGCCGCAGCGGUGAUGGCGUUUGGGGAGAAGUGCUGGAGCUCCACCCCGUAGUGGUGGCAAAGCGCUCGCAUGAAACGGCUUAGAGGAGAACCCAAGCCGUGGCGGUGGAACUUGGCGAAGGAGACCACGUAGCCCUUGGGCGGCCUUGGCUCCCGGUGGUCCGCCGCCGGCGCGAUCCACUCCGGCCGCGACAACAAAGUGCGGGAGCGCAGGAGUCCCUCCCUCUCGAGCUCUAGCAGCCGGCGCUCCAUCAUCGACGACGGGCGCUAGUUGUCGGUGUUUUCCCCACGGGGGGUCACACCAAUGAGUAAAUUUGUAUGCGUGCUCCCUUUUCCAAAUGGUGAUGCAAGAAGACAGAAAGAUUUAUCCUGGUUCGGGCAAGAGAAGGCCCUACGUCUAGCGGGGGAGGGAAGUUUGUAUUAUCUUGCACCUAAGUGCUUGUACAGGGGCGAAUACAAGUGUGUAUGAACCGGGAUGGAGUAUGGAAACUUCUCUACGUGUGUGCAUUGUGAUACGUGAUCUCUGUCUAUUCCUGGGUCUCCCCUUUUAUAGCUCCAAGGAGAGACCUAGGGCACAUGUAUAGGUGUCAGAGUAGGGGUCGAUAGAGGAAUGGCGCGCUGACCUACUCGAGGCCUCCGUACCGGCGUGAUCUCGAGCUGUCCCGUCUUGGUAGCUUGAUGAUGAUUACGCGUGCCCCUGUAUCCUGCUCUGCGCGUCGUCUCGGGCUGGUUCACCUGUCGCACGCUUGUAUGGUAUAGCGGCAGAUCCUGCGGAGUGGCUGCGGUGUUGUCAGUCGACGCCCAACUCUUCCCUAGGAAGGAAUCAUGCCUGGUCGAGGGUCAGGCGCCGUGCAGUGCCUUGUCGUCUAAAGCGUUGACCUUGGGUGUCUCAAGGGGGUCCCGACUAGACGCUCCAUCCCUGCUUUUCGCGCCCUGGCACGCUCUGAGUCGUUUGGUGGGGAAAGCUACAAAAAGGAUGAUGGGACGGGUGCCUGUUCCCUAUCACGCUUCCCGUGACCAGCGUGUUAGGUGGGAAAGCGAUAGGCGCAUUAAAUGCCCUGGCUCUCGUGCGCGCGUCAGGCGGCGGACAGUGCCCUUGCGCUCGACGCCCCCCGAUUCGUUCGAGUCCAUUUCCGUAUUCGACGGUAGUUAGCGCUCGAUCCCUGAGUGGUUCGCUCGACGUCUUUUCUGUCUUCGAGGCUUCGGCCGUCGAUGACCGCACGACUUAUCAGAGCGUCGAGUUGAGGCCCUCGAUCUGUGCACGUGUAAUCUCGUUAUGGGCAACAGUUAGGGUACCCCUUACUGAUACCCUCGACAGUAGCCCCCGAGUCUCCAUUCGAGCGCUGGCGCUCAAGUGGAGGCUUUAUUUUGCGGUCGAAUUUCCAUGGGGACGCGCGAGCGACCCCGCGGGGGUAGCCCUCGAGCCCUUGGAGGAGUUUUUUGACUCCUUCAAGGGUUAAAUUGCCUAACUCUCAGAAACGCUAUCGACACCGGUGGUGGAAGGUCCUGAUUGGCUUGUUUUGUGCGGGGGUUUCGACGUACUCUCGAUAGAGCGAGCGUCUUCCACCCCAAAUUGAGUUCCUAGCGGGUAGUCCAAGUGAGAACCUGUGCCCCUUUCUAGGGGGUCAGCUGUAGCCCGGAGGCGAUCUCAUAAAGCAGGGUCGACGUGGUCGGGGAUACCGAUCUCAUUCGAUAGAGUCCAGCGGCUCGAUGCCUCCCGUCGGGGGGAUUCCUUUCGACUGUCUCGACCCUACCUUGGACAUCCCUAGCGAGUCUUCGUGGCGGGCCUCGAUCUUCGACCACUCGCUGGGGAUCCCUGACUCUGGUGCUCGAGAUCGGCUGUCGAACCCUUUAGGUGGGCCAGCCUGCGACCUCUCGAGGCUUUCACGGGUACAUCCCUUGGCUUACAAGGGAAGGAAGGAGCCAUGGGCGGUUCGCCUUUUUGCCCGUUGGGCGCGCCUUUUUAGGUGGGAGGCGUUACGACACUGUGUUGGCGUGGAAUUUGGAGCGCCCCACCUGUGAGGAGGGAAAGGACAGUUAGACGGCGCAUUUAUGGGGGGAGUUACCUCAUUUCUCGGAUCUGCCCGUUGGUGGACUGCUACCUAUAAAUGUGCCUUGGCGUCGCCGCCGUUCUCCCUUCUGCCUCCCGUCUUCGUUCUCGCCUUAGCCCUCUCGUUGCCUUAGUUCUCUUGCUGUCUCACACGCGCGCGCACAUCCUCGAGCGGUAGCGGAUCCACCGUCCUUCCAUCCAAGAUGCCUGUGAGACUCGUCGCCGCCGACGACUGGCGCCCGUCGUCGAUGACGGAGCCCCGGUUGCUAGAGCUUGAGAGAGAGGGACUCCUACGCCGCCGCACCUCGCUAUCGGGGCCCCUUGUAUAGUACUUUGUUAAUCCUAUUUUCAAGUGAUACAGUAUCUUUAAGUGGUUGUUAUAUGUUUGUCUGUCUUUUCUCUCGAGGCUUCUUUUUAUUCCUUUUUGCGCCUAUGUUUGUUUUUUCUCGCUUGGUCUUUUGUUCGAGGCGGUCUCAAUUGCCUCAAGGGUGAGGAGGCGAGUAGAGUUUCCAUAGCCCGGGGGCAUGGGAGUUCUCAGGCUCGUCGUUUCUCGGCCCUUAAGGGGCUCGAGGUACCUUUACUACUCAACCGUGUGAGAUUACCGAUAGGAAUGAAAGGAUUGCUAGAUUUUUUCCGGCGCUUGGGGGGGUCGCCCCCCUUGCUAGCCCCCGAGGGAGUGUCGACUAUGAUGGGUCGUAGUCGAUACUCCCUUCUAUCGUUGAGACUUGUGGAAAAGUAAAUCGCUCGAGGGAAAGAUUUCAUUUAUUCGUAUAUUCAUUUACAAGGCCUUGGUACAAAGCGCACGUAGGAACAUAAAGCUUUGAAAUUCUAGGGGUAGAAUCGACGUAGCUGUUCGAUGUUCCAUGCAUUGGUGAAGACCGCCCCCUUUUCGUCUGCUAACUUGUAUGAUCCUGGCUUCAAGACCUCGGCCACCACGUACGGGCCUUCCCAAGGCGGAGUCAACUUGUGGCGUCCUUGAUUGCUUUGCCGUCGUCGUAGGACAAGGUCGCCCACGUUUAAGUCCCUCCUGCGCACGUGCUUGUCGUGGUAGCGUCGAAGCUUCUGCUGGUAUCUAGCAGAGUUGAUGAGGGCCAUGUCUCGAGCUUCUUCGAGUUGGUCGACCGCGUUUUCUUGAGAUUCUUUAUUUGAUUGCUCGUUGUACGCUUUGAGUCGAGGGGACCCGUACUCGAGGUCUGUGGGGAGGACAGCCUCAGAGCCGUAGACCAUGAAGAAUGGGGUGUAUUUUGUGGCCCUGCUCAGCGUCGUCCUUAGGCUCCAUAGGACCGAGGAAAGCUCCUCGACCCACUUCUUGCCGAAUUUCUUCAAGCGAUUGUAGAUCCUAUGUUUGAGCCCCUGCAAAAUCAUGCUGUUGGCACGCUCGACCUGGCCAUUAGUUCGAGGAUGGGUCACUGCGGACCAGUUCACACGGAUGUGAUGCUGAUCGUAGAAGUCUAAGAAUUUUUUGCCCGUGAACUGAGUGCCGUUGUCGGUGAUGAUGACGUUGGGGAUCCCGAAUCGGUGGAUGAUGUCGGUGAAGAAAAGGACGGCUUGUUCGGAGUGGAUGUUGGUGAUGGGUCGAGCCUUGAUCCACUUGGAGAACUUGUCGAUAGCCACAAGCAAGUGGGUGUACCCUCCUUUUGCCUUUUUGUUGACGGUUCUUAAGUAUCAAUUUUAAUUAUCAAAUAAACAAGAGAAAGGACCAAUAUGCAACCAUCACCUAGAAUUAGGGUUUGAUCUGACAGAAUUCCACGAGUUUUGUUGUUUAUCUGUUUCUGCAUGGGGUUAUCAGGAAAUAAGGAAGAAAGGCCCACAUGUCGGGAUUACAUAGAGAUAUCAACGCACCGCGUAAUUUUACAUCAUCUAGAAGACUCCAGAAGCCACGAGACCGAAGCGGAGGCGAAGCUGGGCCAGGCCCAGGGCGCCCGCCCUGGUAGCCUGGGCGCCCGCCCCCCUGCUGGAGUCAAUUCAGGACUCCUUCGCUCGGGAUAUUCCACCGACCUAUUGGAUCAAGAAAAACAUAGUAUCACCUCGGCUAUCGACCCAAAAACGCAUAGAAGGGGAGGACUAUAUAAGCGAGGCUCCCCUGGCCCCUGGAAGACAUGAAGAAAUUAUCAUAGAGACUGAGGGGUGCCCUCGAAGGAAAACCUCUUCUCUAAUUAAUAUUUCUUUUUAGGCUUAGCAAUCAAUGUAAGGUAGAAAUAGAUCUUCUAGUUUCUACUAGAUUGAGAGAGAUAGAAUGGAGGUGUAGAGUGGAGGAAGCCCGGCCUGUCGGUGUCUACACCAAGCUUGUACCUGCGGGAUCAAGUUCUCCUAACCCGAAGCUUGCUCCUAGGAUUCUUCAGUAAUUCGACUUCUAAAUUCUAGUAAGUUCUUGUUUUAUUGUUCUUAUGGUUUAUGAGUUUACUUUAAUCUCUUCGCGUAGAGUUUAGAGUAAUCAUUGCUGGCGUAAACGUGGUGUUUAGGCUGGGGUACUCAUAGAUAUUCCCUGACUAGCUGGACCGCGGUAGUAGUGAGGAACGUGACAUUUCCGAGCUACCUUUGUAGAUCACAUCUCGUUAGCAGGAAGGAUAGGGUUUAUAGGUGCGGGUUGAACAUCCUUUGUGGUGUCUAGAUUCCGUUAGCCUCCCCAUUAGAACAGUAGAUCAUCCUUACCAAGGUUAGAAGGAGACUACGGUUGCAGUCUUCUCUAUUUAUCACUCACAUCGAAAGACAUUCUUUGUGCCUAAAUGGAUAGUAGCAAUAGAUUUGGUUAGUCAGAUGCACCCUUUCUCCCAGUGGUAAAAAUAUAAAUACGAUACUCUGGAAACCUCCCGGGUGAAAUGCUCACCGAUAUCCGUGCGCUUGCGGAUCAUUUCCUUAUUUCGUUACCAAAUAUCAACAAGCAUUUCUGGCGCCGUUGCCGGGGAGAAAGACGGUUUGUUGAGAUAACUUUGAGUCUUGCUAUUAUCUUGUAUUAUACUUUUAUACUUUUAUUCUUUUAUCUUUUUAUUUUUAUCUUUAUGGAUAACUCAAAUUCCAUACCUAUUAUUAAAUUCUUUGCACCUUCAGAGACCAGCCAUAGACCAUGGGAGUCAACACGUCCUGCCCCUAAUUAUGAUCCGUGUCUGGAGUUGAUUGCAAUAGGCCAAAACCAAACCUUUUCUAUAGCCGAGGUCCUAUCUUUUAAUCAAAAAGAUAAUGCACUUUUAGCUACACCUAGGGAAUCUUUUAAUCUUUCUAUAAAUUCUAGUUUAGACCUAGCCCUACAAGACCAUGUUUUUCCUAGAUAUUUUCACAUUGGUCUUAAUCAUAUAAUCCUUGGUAGAGUCUUUCUUUCAUUAUCAGUUAGUAACGGAAGGUAUGUCUUCAUUCGUGGACAUCCUUCUUGUACUAGUCUUCAUAGAAAAAUCAUAGAGAUAGAGAAGGAAUCAUCUCCCAUACAAGGAGAGGAAGUUUCAAUAGCCGAUUUCCAAACUUUCCAAUCCCAUGAUUCGGCUAUCCAACCCAUCCAUGAGCCUAAUAAUCUCUACUAUGCUCUUUCUCUUGAACCUCCCGAUAAUCCUAUGAAUCUCUCUAGACAUCCCAUGCAUAAGGAGGAUCGAGAAGAGCAACAUCAAUGGCUAGAGGGCAUUAAAAAUUCAUGUGCUAUCACCACAUUUGAGAUCUCCAACCCUCUCUUCUUUUCUAUUUAUAAAAACUUUAAAAGAGCGGUUGUCGAUGCAUAUGUUUAUAAUAAAUAUUGCAGAUCUCGUCGAGUUAAUUGAUGGUUUCCCAAGGACAAGCUUAGUGUCCUAAAACAAGCACUUAUCAGAUUGUAACAUGAACUUCUAAUUACUUGCAACAUUACCUUGUGUAUUGAGCAUAUAAAGAUAAUUGUAGAAAUAUUCCUUCGGGUAUUCUUGUCACUAACCUUUCUAGGAUUGGAGCAAGAAGACCGGAUGAAUGACAAGCGCAAGGUAUGCCCAACCAAUCAACAUUGAAUUAAAUUCAUCCAAUCUUGAAUUUUGCAAAAUUCAAGCUUAGGGGAGUACUUCACAUAAAAACAUCCUUUGCCAUGUUGCUAUGUUGGUUGUCCUUACCUUUGAGACAUGCUCAAUUUGUUAAAUACUAAUCACACUACUUCAUCUCCACUUAAGUAGAUCUCUAUAAAUGCCAUCACGCUACCUUUGUUUAUCCUAGUAAGUGUUAGUUUGGAAGUACUGCACAUACUUCUAUUGGCUUUUAAAUUAAGCAUGGUGCUUAGGUUAAACAACCUUCCUUAAUCUGAUUAGACAUGGAGUCUAGUUCGGUUAUCGAACUAAAAAUUGCUUGUAUAGACAUUGGUAUAUUUUGUGGGACUAACCCCUGCAGGAAAACUUUCAAUAUCAACUUGGGAAGUCCUGAGAUAAACUCACAUUGGAGAUGAAGAAAGUGACACAUGAAGUUUAACAAUUUGCACAAGAAAGAUGUAGCUCAUAAGAGAUGAUCCAUGGAGGGAGCCACAAACACGAUGCACAACCGCUAGAAAGGAAAGCUUCUACAAGGUGAUACUGUACGAUCACUCUUCAAAGGUAACAUCUUAAGGUACUUGACUAUCCUUUUUAUAAGUUUCUCCUUGGUUCUGGCGUUCACAUAAAUAAAGAGACAAACAUGUAUGAUUUAUAACUCUAAAUUAACCAACCUAACUGAUUCAACAUGUUUAGUCCCUUAAUCUUUGUUCUUAGUACUACCUUCGUAAUCCCACGCUCCUAAACAUAUAAGCUAAUAUGUUGCACAUUCAAUCUUUGGAAGAUAAAAAAAAAUAGAUAGAUUAUCCUUCCAUUAGGUUGAGCCAUCUGAUCUAACAAAUGUUUUAAAUGCUACACUCAUGAUCCAUCAACUUUGUCUUGCUCACUAUGCUUAAGGUUAGAAAAGAACAAAUACACUUUUGGUUCUGUUGGUGUUUUCCACCAACAGAGCCCAUGCACUUGAUCUCUGCCUUGUCUCUAUGAGCAGGACACAUUUUGAGAAACAUGAAGGCGUUUUACAACUCCCAGAUUCCAUUAAGUGAAGAAACGGGAUCUACGAGCACAAACACAAUGGAGAUCAGACACUUAGUUUCCCAAAGGAAAUAUUAAAGAACCUCUGUGUCCAAGUUGGUACCUUGUACGCUCCAGCAAACUUCGUGGUGGUAGAGACUGGUACUGAGGAGAGGGCACCCAUCAUCUUACGGAGGCCAUUCCUAAACACCAGAGCUGUCAUCUACGCUAAUGAUGCCAAGAUCAGUCUCUACAUCAAGGGGAAGAAGGAGACUUUUCUUCAAGAACAAGACUACAUAAACUUCAGAGCAAUCCCGACAUGAACCAAGGAAGAGGACCAACAGGAGGAACAGGAACAAGCAAAUGUGGACCGAGUCAGCUAAGAUGGUCACUGCAGCUCAAGGAGGUCAAGAUCGUCGACUCAAGUCACCUUUCUUGAUCAAGAAGGACGACCCUGGUGUUCCAAUCAUCGAGUGCACAACCAAUAGAUACUCUUUUUAGAAAACACUCUACGACACCGGAUCUAACGUCAACAUAAUGGCCGCAGUCACUUAUCAGCUCCUGCAUGGAACCAUGCCCCUACAACCAAUAUAUAUUUAGCUCCAGAUGAUUUUCAGAACAUUGAUAUGGGAGAAGACGAGUACGAUCCACCCAUCAUCUUACGAAGACCAUUCGUCAACACUAUCCAAGUUAUCAUCUACAUUGGAACCGGAGAAGUCCACGUGUAUUUCCCCUCUGAUAAGGUACGCCAUUACUUUAAUGAUUCUAACUAUAUAGUUGAAGAUUCUAAGCAGGUCAAGACAAGAAGAAGACGACGCAACCGCAACCAGAGGAGGCAAAUCAUCAGGGACGGAUGGGCAGACUACGAAGGAAAAGUUGUAAGGUCAGAAGACGUUGAGUUUAAACAGAAUUAUCCAGAGGAGACCGAAGCACCAAGUCAGGUGUGGAAAAUGAAGAUAACUAUACAUGAAGAGGAGGCGCUGCCGGAAGUACCGACUACACCACCCAACGAACCUCACGAUAAUUGAGAAGGUGGAGAAUCCCGUUCGGAGGACUUAAAAAGACCGAACGCCUUGCCAAGAGGUAAACUUGGUAGUUAUCCUUUCCCUUUCAAUUAUUUCAAGUAGUUCACUUAGUUAAUUAAGUUCUAAACAGAAAGUAAAAAUGUGAAAAACAGUAAGCCCCAUGUGAGGAUACGAGUGACAUAAAACCCAUAAUUACAUUCACUGUGGUGGCAUAAAAAUAAAACAAAAAUAUUUUUCUGCUUUAUAAAAUAAAAAUAUAAAAAUAGGGAGUAAUAAUUAUUAAGGAGUCUCAACAUGAUAAAGGCUAGAUAUUUAUGCUCACACUUAAUCAGUUCCACAAGCUUUGUUGUCUAUUUGAGCUCCACAGAAUCUAAGAAUCAAGAAGACUGGCAGACGGAGGAUAUUCUAAUCGCUGUCACAAUGCUGGUGACUUUCAAAUACACCUCUGCCACCUGCUAGCUACAUCAAGAGAAAUUACGUCAAAAUUCAGCUUGGGGGAGAGCACCCCCA
rnacentral:lncRNA from 1 species